rnacentral:rRNA from 1 species
AUACGGAGGGUGCAAGCGUUAUCCGGAAUCAUUGGGUUUAAAGGGUCCGUAGGCGGACUAUUAAGUCAGAGGUGAAAUCCCACAGCUCAACUGUGGAACUGCCUUUGAUACUGGUAGUCUUGAGUUAUGUGGAAGUAGAUAGAAUGUGUAGUGUAGCGGUGAAAUGCAUAGAUAUUACACAGAAUACCGAUUGCGAAGGCAGUCUACCACGUAUAUACUGACGCUAAGGGACGAAAGCGUGGGGAGCGAACAGUAUUAGAAACCCCGGUAGUCC